rnacentral:rRNA from 1 species
UACGGAGAGGGCAAGCGUUACUCGGAAUUAUUGGGCGUAAAGGGCGCGUAGGCGGUCGUGCGCGUCGGAGGUGAAAUCCCCGGGCUUAACCCGGGAGCUGCCUCCGAUACGGCAUGGCUUGAGUCCGGGAGAGGGGAGCAGAAUUCCCAGUGUAGCGGUGAAAUGCGUAGAUAUUGGGAGGAAUACCGGUGGCGAAGGCGGCUCCCUGGACCGGUACUGACGCUGAGGCGCGAAAGCGUGGGUAGCAAACAGG